GUCUUUAUAAGGAUUAAGGGGAAUUGGGGGUGGUUUUUUUUUCGUAUUUUGUAAGAAAUAUUUAUUCUGUAAAAUUCUUCUGUUCUGAUCGUGCAUAUGGGAAUUUCCUUCUAUAUCAUGAUUUUCACAUGAUAGAUUUUUCGUCUGUAUCUCCCCUGAAUCUGUUAAAGUACUGCACAAAUUAGACAUUUAUCAAUUUCAUUCCUGUUGAAAACC
rnacentral:lncRNA from 1 species